rnacentral:rRNA from 1 species
GAUGAACGCUGGCGGCGUGCCUAAUACAUGCGAGUCGAGCGAACAGACGAGGAGCUUGCUCCUCUGACGUUAGCGGCGGACGGGUGAGUAACACGUGGAUAACCUACCUAUAAGACUGGGAUAACUUCGGGAAACCGGAGCUAAUACCGGAUAAUAUAUUGAACCGCAUGGUUCAAUAGUGAAAGACGGUUUUGCUGUCACUUAUAGAUGGAUCCGCGCCGCAUUAGCUAGUUGGUAAGGUAACGGCUUACCAAGGCAACGAUGCGUAGCCGACCUGAGAGGUUGAUCGGCCACACUGGAACUGAGACACGGUCCAGACUCCUACGGGAGGCAGCAGUAGGGAAUCUUCCGCAAUGGGCGAAAGCCUGACGGAGCAACGCCGCGUGAGUGAUGAAGGUCUUCGGAUCGUAAAACUCUGUUAUUAGGGAAGAACAAAUGUGUAAGUAACUAUGCACGUCUUGACGGUACCUAAUCAGAAAGCCACGGCCAACUACGUG